GUGAGCUUGUGGCCCUUGCGCAGUUAUGGAACUGCACAGAUGUGAGACACAGCCGCCUGAGGCUGAUUAACUGAGGAGCCACCUAAUGCAGAGGCCCAAGCUGUGCUUACCCCGGGUAGCUGUUUUACGUUAGAUGUAUAGGGCAGAAGACUUAGCUCUGGAGCGUUCAGGUUUUCAGCUGAAAGAAGGAACUAUGUUUGAAGACUCCUACCGGACUAGUGUCAUGAAUUAGCAGGAGCCAUGUGAGGAGUCCUACUUGAGGGGAGAUGUACCCUGAUGACCCAGGAAUGAAGUAAGCUGAGAGAAACCAACUGGAAAUGCAAUCCUGAUGCUAUAACAGGAGCAGAUAAAAUCUCAGUGAGGAAGCUGGAUCCUGCACCAUUGGAAGCCACGAUUUGAAUUUCCUGCUGCCAAUACUGCGUCCCAAUCCCCACGGCAGGGAGAGAGAUGCGUAAAAGCUCUGAGAGCUGGAAUUGGCGAACCAAACGGCAUUGAGAGCGGGACUGGCAGGGAGCCCUGCAUCGACCUGUGGUGAGUGAGAGAAAUGGGGACCCUUUCAUAGACUAGGAGGCUCCAACAGAGGACAUUCUGGGAAUGAGCAGACUAGCCGGAACAGGGCCCUGUGUGACUUUAGUCGCAUAUUCCCCUUUCAAGCAGGAGUGGUGGGGAGUGCUUGGCCUGGUGACACCGCGGACUAAGAUCCUGUAGGCUAGCCCAAAUCAGGUUCCUGCAUCUGGCGGUGCACCCUAGCAGUGAAACAUUCAGUAGGUUGACCUGCAGGGACGGGCCCAGCAGAGGCUGCCCAGGUCUGUGCCUCUCUAGUACACUGCAGUGGGUGGGAACACCUAGCCAGCGGAUUCAAACAAACUGCAACAGACAAAGAGAAAAAAAAAAAACCCAAAACUGGGCCUCCUACAUAUGCUUGUAUGGAAGGAACAAAAAGUAUGGGAAAAGGGAACAACAAGAAAGGGUCCUCAGUACCCAAUCCUGAGAACACUGAUCCAGGAAAGGUAAAUGCAAAAGAGAAUGAAGACAGAAAACAUGCAGUAUCAGACAUGGCACCUAUAGAUAUAAAGCAGUAUCUCCGGAGCCUCAUAGAUGAGUUAAAAAAUGAAGUAUUUAAUGAAAUAAAGCAAGAAAUAAGUAGAAUAGUUAGAGUAAUGCUAAGCACCUCCCAAGAAAAAACAGAUGGUGGAAUGGAAGAACAGAAAAAAGGGGAGAAUUGUUUGAUGGAGAAAAUAGAGAAAACAUAGAAUACGUGAAGCAGGUUCACAGAGAUUACCAGGAAACUAAAAACUCUAUUGAAAGCUGACAUAACAGCUUGAAAGAAACUAAGGAUAGAUUAUUAGAACUGGAGGACAGAUUUGUAAGGUGGGAGCAUGAAAUGAAAAACUUCUUAAAAAUAACAAGAAAACAAACAGCAAUAAUACAAAGACUAGAAGAUGAUAAGAGGAUCUAUAACUUAAGAAUUAAGAACAUAAAAGAAGAAGUAGGGACUCAAACAAAUGAACUACAAAAGCUAUUCACAGAAAUAAUCCAGGAGAAUUUCCCUAAUUUAGCAAAAGGUAAAGAUACUCAGAUGUAUGAGGCAUACAGGACCCCAGCCACCUACAACCAAAACAGAGCUACACCCAGGCAUAUAAUAAUCAAAAUUCCAGAAAUCCAAUAUAAGAACAGAAUAUUAAAAGACAUCAGAGACAAGAAACAGAUCACUUACAAGGGAACACCCAUCAGAAUUACAGCAGACUUCUCAGCACAAACCAUCAAAUCACGGAGAGCAUGGGGGGAAAUAAUUCAAGCUUUGAAAGAUAAUAACCUCCAGCCAAGAUUGAUAUAUCCUGCACAACUGUCCCUAGAAAUUGAUGGAAAAACAAGGUGCUUCCAGGAUAAAGAGGAACUAGAGGAAGUUGCAACCACCAAUUCAACUCUACAGAGAUCACUGCAAGAUAUUCUAAAAAUGAAAAAUACCAAGAUUCCAAGAACAGUGGCAGAGCGGCCACAAUGAAUGGAGCAGAAAGCGAAAUGAAGAGAACAAACUGACAACUAAUGAGAGAAAAAGAGCUCAACCGAAAUGAGGCAGAGAAGGUUGGAUGGUAGGAACAGCUAUUUUGGAGAAAACAAGACAUCAUAAUAGGUAGUGCUGAUUUAAUAUCCUCUUGUUUUGAAGUCCCAUCAAGCUUUUGUUCUUCUGUCUCCAUCAGUUUUAACGUGUUGUAUCUUAUUGGAUUUUAUUAUAUGUGAUAAUAUAAACAAAAAAUUUUAUAGACAAGGAGAUCAUACAGAAACCAUUGUUCAUUUUCUGUUAGUGGAUUCUAAAUACCCUGGAAUACUGUCAUCCUCUUGAACAGUUUUACAUUGUCUUGAUAUGUUUGAUGCUACAGUAUACGAAGUUAUACCCAAAGAUUUUAAGGGAAGAGACAUUAUGGUAACUACUAUUAUGUCGAGAUUAUCUUGUGGUAAAGCACUAUUUUGCUUAAAUGGCUUUGUUUUGACCUGCACUGUUUUGUUGUUAUGCCCUCUUUUUUUUUAUCUCAAUCUCCUUUUUAUUAUCUACUUUUUCAUUUUUAUCCUUUUAAUUAAGGGAAAAAUAAACAAUAGCAGGAUAUAUUAUAGUAACCCACUUGAUUUCCUAUUAACUUGAUUUGAAACUCUGCAUUGCUCUCACCAUCUUGUUUUGACUGAUUUUCUUCUAUUCUGUUAUGUUAGAUAGUACCAAGUUUGAAAGUAGAGGCAACAACUAUGAAGACAAUAAGAUUCAUUGUGACGCCCAUUCUGGUUGACUAUUAUCUUCUUUUGAAGUCCCGUAAUUUCUCCAAUGUUUUGCUUUUAUUGGUCUUUUCUUACUGUUUUGUUCAAUUUUAUUAUAACUGAUGGUAUAGGCAAUUAUUUUUAAGAUAACAAGAGGCAUUAUGGUAACCAUUGUUGAUCACCUUGUAUUUUGUUUUUACAUUAUGUAUUAUGUCCAUCCUUUUGAUUUGACUGAGUCUGUCCUGGUAUGUCACAUUUGGUUUUACUUUCUUCAAAAAAAAAGUGUAAUAAGAACUGUCAAAGCAAUAAAACCCAAAAUGUGUAAUUGUCCUUGUAGAAAAGAAAGGAAAAGAAAGUUCUCUAAAAGAUAUAACUGCAUAUAUAUUUAAGUGUAUAAGAUAGAUAACCAUAUUACUGAGUUUUGUUGGAUCAUUGAACAAAACUGUUUGUAGCCUCACUGUUUGAAAGUCCCCUCUAUAUGCUUUAAUUUUGUAACUUCAACAACUAUUUCUAAGAUGACAAUAUGUAAUCAACUAGUGAUUUCCUACUGUUUAUUUUUUCUGAAAUUCUGUAUAACUUGUACCCUUUUUCUGUUUUUUUUCCUUUUUUCUCCUUAAAUAAAAUUUAAAAAAAGAA